UCUCUAUAUCUAUGGUCGGCACGUCUGGUAGCAUCUCUGGCUGCUGUUGACCUUGUUUUCGGAGUAAAACACGGUGGAAGCUGAAUUAGUGAGGAUGACUCCUGCUCCUGUCAUCUCUAAGCUCCUCACACAUCUUUACCUGCACAUGAGGAAAAUCACUCCUGUAGAAUGCAGUGGUUCAUCAGAACCUCUGGGGAUCCUGUGGAUUCUGUGGAUCCUGUGGGUUGCAGGGUGGGUCCUACCUAGACCAGGCUGAUCCUGGACCAUCCCACAGAUGCUCCAUCAGAUCUGGAUGUGGGGAGUGUGGAACCCAGAUGUUCAGAGGGAGAUGAUGCCACAUCUGGUCCAGCUGAUGGAAGGUCUUGAAGUUCUCUGACUGGCCUGGACUGAAGAUGGUCGUCUCACUGGAUUUAAGGUUCAGAUGCUCAGUAACAAACUCCACCAAUGAGCCAACAGGGAAGCUUUAGGUUUAUUAAAUGUUGCUAUGAAGGUUUCGCUGUUUUUCUUUGUGGAUGCAAUGUGCUCCAACUGAAACUUAAAUUAGAACUUAGAAGUAAAUCCUUCCAUCUGAAAGGAUUUAGUUGCAUUAAUAACCUCAUAACAUUCUAAUUUUUAUUCCAGUCUUGGUUGGAAAUAGAAUCUUUGUAUUGAUUCAGGUAAAAACUGAACUUCACAGCAUGUUGGAGCAAAACAACCAGAUGAAAACUGUGAUGGUGUUGGAUUGUCAGACUGUAAUGUUGCAGCUCAAAGCAGCUUUUCUAUCUCAGUUUAUUCUGACAUUCAGCUAUGAAUCAACACAGCAGAUGGUGAUCCAUGCUGUGGAAGUCUCACAUCUCCUGAUUUAAUGGAGCUGCUUUGCACUUUUUACAGUUUAUUCACCAACACUUUAUUUAAUAAAAGUCCCAUCUAGUUUUUAUGAGGAAUGUGAUGUUUUAAUUUCUCUGUGAAUAACUGCAGUCUAAUGCAACAGCUGGAGUUGUAACAUCUGUCCUGAUAUUGAUCAUGAAGUAUUGAUCAGAAUACUUAUGGUCAGCAGUCAUCCCUGAAGUUUUACAUUAAAAUCUUUACUUGUGUUGUGAACUUUGGUAAGAAGCAGAAACUUUAGUGUUGCCAUGGAUACAUGAGUGUUAAAUUCUGUCCAUGUUUCCAUUGUGGGAAAUUCAGUCCAGCAGAUGAGUUUGUUUUUACUGCCAGAUACCAUUCAGUCUGAGAUAUUAAGAAUAAAUAAAUGUGCAUAAUGUGGAAAUGAACAGAUUCUAUUUUUAUUUAUCCCUAAACUUGCUGCAGGUCAAGUUCCAGAGAAUGUGGAGGAAUUUAGUCUCACAAUCACAGACAAUAAAUAUUAUCCGAAAGUCGGGUUAUUGUUGUUUAUCAGCACAAUACAAAAAGAUUAAUGUUAGAAAUAUUCCAGUUAAGACUCUAGAAUAUCAUGAUUUAUGUAAAUUUACCUCAAUAAUAUGAAUGUUUAGGUUAAGAUUGUACAGUGAUAUUUAUUAUGUAAGUUUAGCUGAUUAAAGUUCAUUAUUUAUUAUUUAAAUUUACAUCAUUAUUAUAAUAUUUAGGGUCAGACCCUACAGUAUUGAGAUUAAGAAAUCAAAUAUUCUAUAAAAUGUAAAUAUACUGAACUAAUUUGGAUAUAUUUAAGUGAGACUCUACAAUAUUAUUUGACACAAAUCUAUCUAAAUCAACAUUUUAAUAAUUUCCACGCCAAACAUUUACUGGACUGAUUUAAAUAUUAAAAUCACUCCUUUCUAAUCCUCUGCUGUACCUUCAAACCUGAGGCCUUAAAUAGAAACACAAGUAUCUGAUUGAAGGAACGUCUGCAGAGUCCUGGUUCCAGAACAUGAUGAUAGAAUUAUAGACAAUCUUUAACAAAAGCUGCCUGAAAGUUUACAGGUUUUUGUGUUAGAUUUCUUCAGUCAUUUAAUGAGCAUUAUCAGCAAAAAUCAAGUAUUCAUUUGAUGAACUUCAUUUCCUAAAACAUCCAGAAUUGGAGCUCAUAUCUUUGGCAGCUGUAAAGUUUCUGCUCCUUCAAAGUUCACAACACAAUGAAUGAAUUCCUAAAACACUCUCAAUGCUGGAGAGCGUUUGUGAUGCUGAAGCAGUGACCAGUUUUUCUGUUUCUUCUCUGGAG
ensembl:lncRNA